AAACUUCUUUAUCACCGAGUGCUUGCACUCACCGAUAAAGAGUUGAGUGGCGAACGGGUGAGUAACACGUGGGCAACCUGCCCAAAAGAGGGGGAUAACACUUGGAAACAGGUGCUAAUACCGCAUAACCAUAGUUACCGCAUGGUAACUAUGUAAAAGGUGGCUAUGCUACCGCUUUUGGAUGGGCCCGCGGCGCAUUAGCUAGUUGGUGGGGUAAAGGCUUACCAAGGCAAUGAUGCGUAGCCGAACUGAGAGGUUGAUCGGCCACAUUGGGACUGAGACACGGCCCAAACUCCUACGGGAGGCAGCAGUAGGGAAUCUUCCACAAUGGGCGAAAGCCUGAUGGAGCAACGCCGCGUGGGUGAAGAAGGUCUUCGGAUCGUAAAACCCUGUUGUUAGAGAAGAAAGUGCGUGAGAGUAACUGUUCACGUUUCGACGGUAUCUAACCAGAAAGCCACGGCUAACUACGUGCCAGCAGCCGCGGUAAUACGUGGGUGGCAAGCGUUAUCCGGAUUUAUUGGGCGUAAAGGGAACGCAGGCGGUCUUUUAAGUCUGAUGUGAAAGCCUUCGGCUUAACCGGAGUAGUGCAUUGGAAACUGGGAGACUUGAGUGCAGAAGAGGAGAGUGGAACUCCAUGUGUAGCGGUGAAAUGCGUAGAUAUAUGGAAGAACACCAGUGGCGAAAGCGGCUUACUGGACUGUAACUGACACUGAGGCUCGAAAGCGUGGGGAGCAAACAGGAUUAGAUACCCUGGUAGUC
rnacentral:rRNA from 1 species